GGUUUCAUGGUGUAGUUGGUUAUCACGUAUGCCUCACAGUCAAUAAUUUGUCUGAGUCCGCAUAAGGUCGCCGGUUCGAUCCCGGCUGAAACCA